rnacentral:rRNA from 1 species
UACGAAGGGUGCAAGCGUUACUCGGAAUUACUGGGCGUAAAGCGUGCGUAGGUGGUUUGUUAAGUCCGUUGUGAAAGCCCUGGGCUCAACCUGGGAAUGGCAGUGGAUACUGGCAAGCUAGAGUGCGGUAGAGGGUAGUGGAAUUCCCGGUGUAGCAGUGAAAUGCGUAGAGAUCGGGAGGAACACCAGUGGCGAAGGCGGCUACCUGGACCAGCACUGACACUGAGGAGCGAAAGCGUGGGGAGCGAACAGG